rnacentral:rRNA from 1 species
CUCUUGACAUCCAGAGAACUUUCCAGAGAUGGAUUGGUGCCUUCGGGAACUCUGAGACAGGUGCUGCAUGGCUGUCGUCAGCUCGUGUUGUGAAAUGUUGGGUUAAGUCCGCAACGAGCGCAACCCUUAUCCUUUGUUGCCAGCGAUUCGGUCGGGAACUCAAAGGAGACUGCCGGUGAUAAACCGGAGGAAGGUGGGGAUGACGUCAAGUCAUCAUGGCCCUUACGAGUAGGGCUACACACGUGCUACAAUGACGCAUACAAAGAGAAGCGACCUCGCGAGAGCAAGCGGACCUCACAAAGUGCGUCGUAGUCCGGAUCGGAGUCUGCAACUCGACUCCGUGAAGUCGGAAUCGCUAGUAAUCGUGGAUCAGAAUGCCACGGUGAAUACGUUCCCGGGCCUUGUACACACCGCCCGUCACACCAUGGGAGUGGGUUGCAAAAGAAGUAGGUAGCUUAACCUUCGGGAGGGCGCUUACCACUUUGUGAUUCAUGACUGGGGUGAAGUCGUAACAAGGUAGGCGUAGACGU